rnacentral:rRNA from 1 species
GAUGAACGCUGGCGGCGUGCCUAAUACAUGCAAGUCGAGCGAACGGACGAGAAGCUUGCUUUUCUGAUGUUAGCGGCGGACGGGUGAGUAACACGUGGAUAACCUACCUAUAAGACUGGGAUAACUUCGGGAAACCGGAGCUAAUACCGGAUAAUAUUUUGAACCGCAUGGUUCAAAAGUGAAAGACGGUCUUGCUGUCACUUAUAGAUGGAUCCGCGCUGCAUUAGCUAGUUGGUAAGGUAACGGCUUACCAAGGCAACGAUGCAUAGCCGACCUGAGAGGGUGAUCGGCCACACUGGAACUGAGACACGGUCCAGACUCCUACGGGAGGCAGCAGUAGGGAAUCUUCCGCAAUGGGCGAAAGCCUGACGGAGCAACGCCGCGUGAGUGAUGAAGGUCUUCGGAUCGUAAAACUCUGUUAUUAGGGAGGAACAUAUGUGUAAGUAGCUGUGCACAUCUUGACGGUACCUAAUCAGAAAGCCACGGCUAACUACGUG